rnacentral:lncRNA from 1 species
GUUGUUUUUCUCUUCUCAUUUCUCUCUCUCUCUCUCUUAUAAUCUUCUCAUUUCUCGGCAUACACAAAUUGAAGCUUUUGUUUGCUUUCUUUCUGCUUGAUGGAGGGACCUUAAACUCACUCACUCACUCACUCUUUCUUUCUUCUGCUUUCGUGUUUUCUAAGUUCUGGCUUCAAACCAUCGACUGAUCUUUUGUCUGCGAUUUUCUGUUUAAAAAAAAUAAAGCAACGACAUUUUCAGGUACGAGCUUUGCAUAUAUUUAAUAACGUGAUAUUUAAUGUAA